GCGGCAAAAGCUCAAAUUUGAAAUCUAGCACCUUCGGUGUUCGAGUUGUAAUUUGAAGAUGGUAACCUUGGGUUUGGCUCUUGUCUAUGUUCCUUGGAACAGGACGUCAUAGAGGGUGAGAAUCCCGUCUGAUGAGAUGCCCAUUCCUAUGUAAGGUGCUAUCGAAGAGUCGAGUUGUUUGGGAAUGCAGCUCUAAGUGGGUGGUAAAUUCCAUCUAAAGCUAAAUAUUGGCGAGAGACCGAUAGCGAACAAGUACAGUGAUGGAAAGAUGAAAAGAACUUUGAAAAGAGAGUGAAAAAGUACGUGAAAUUGUUGAAAGGGAAGGGCAUUAGAUCAGACUUGGUGUUUUACGAUUAUCUUCUCUUCUUGAGUUGUGCACUCGUAUUUCACUGGGCCAGCAUCGAUUCGGAUGGCAAGAUAAUGGCAGUUGAAUGUGGCUUCACUUCGGUGGAGUGUUAUAGCUUCUGCUGAUAUUGCCUGUCUGGAUCGAGGGCUGCGUCUUUUGACUAGGAUGCUGGCGUAAUGAUCUAAUGCCGCCCGU
rnacentral:rRNA from 1 species